AUGGCCCCGGCCUCGGCCCUCGGGAAGACGUCCCGCAGGAUGUCGCUCAUGGACGACGGCACGCUCAAGGAGCCGGUGGUGUUCAAGCUCUGCCUGUACCGCUCCGGCGAGGGGUGGCGCUCCAGAAUGGUGCAGGUGGCGGAGCCGCGGAGGGACAGGGUGUGCCCGGUGGCGGGGGCGGGGCGGUACCAUGAGACGACCAAGGCGAUCACGCUCGGAGGCCCGCGCGGUACGGUCGGCUGGGUCGACCUCUGCCGCAGUAUCCUCGUCCUCAACGUGUUCGACGGAAGUCCCGUGCUCCACGACGUGCCUCUGCCGCCGCCUGCGAGGGGGAACUGGGUAUCUUACGCCUACCACAAGCGCUGCUCCUUCCUGAUCCGUGACAUCACCGUCAGCCGAAGCAAAGACUGCAUCAAGUACAUCGAGAUGGAAACUGCUCUGCCGAGAAAGCAGGAGGUGGUGACCGCUGAGGAGUACCACCCACCUGAGACCUACCUGGAAUGGUUCCACGAGAAGCCACGCCCUCAACCCCGCUGCGCUGGCUGGAGGGCCACCACAUGGAGCAUGCCGGUCCCGAUUCUGUCAUGGGAGGACUGGAGCCCCGGCUGCACCGUCAAUGCCAAUGAAAUCGUCGUCAAGCCAAUGCAUUCCAAGCUGCUGCCUGGCAGUAUCAGUGACAGUGAGCCCACCGAGGUGACGUUGCUGCCAGUCCUCACCACGGCUUUCCCCACAAUGAGUAUGGAUGAUGAUGUUGUGUACCUACUGUCCAAGGCAUGCUCCGCUGGCGAGAUGGAAGUGGUGAUUGCUGUUGACUUGAGGAAGAAGACGCUCCGAGGAGUGGGCAAGGUUGUUGCCGGAAAAGACUUCACUGACAUGCGCAGCCGCACCACCGAGAUCUCCAAGUAUCUCAAUCUGAAUAUGAGUGCAGAACUGAUGAACUGGUUAUGGUGGGAUGUGUUCAGAAAAACCCUGACACCGUCUCUCGAACCGACACUUGUUAGAUGGAGGAGUUUGAAUGAACACUGUAAAGCCAGAGGAUAUGCAUUCAAAAUGACGAACGGAGGCAUCAACAAGAUAUUUGAUGACCAAAACUAG
rnacentral:rRNA from 1 species